rnacentral:rRNA from 1 species
AUUGAACGCUGGCGGCAGGCUUAACACAUGCAAGUCGAGCGGAGCGAGGGUGCUUGCACCUUAGCUUAGCGGCGGACGGGUGAGUAAUGCUUAGGAAUCUGCCUAUUAGUGGGGGACAACAUUCCGAAAGGAAUGCUAAUACCGCAUACGCCCUACGGGGGAAAGCAGGGGAUCUUCGGACCUUGCGCUAAUAGAUGAGCCUAAGUCGGAUUAGCUAGUUGGUGGGGUAAAGGCCUACCAAGGCGACGAUCUGUAGCGGGUCUGAGAGGAUGAGCCGCCACACUGGGACUGAGACACGGCCCAGACGCCUACGGGAGGCAGCAGUGGGGAAUAUUGGACAAUGGGCGGAAGCCUGAUCCAGCCAUGCCGCGUGUGUGAAGAAGGCCUUUUGGUUGUAAAGCACUUUAAGCGAGGAGGAGGCUCUUAAGGUUAAUACCCUUGAUGAGUGGACGUUACUCGCAGAAUAAGCACCGGCUAACUCUGUGCCAGCCGCCGCAGUAACAC